GACGAACGUUGGCGGCGUGCUUAAUACACGCAAGUCCACUGAAGCAGUGGUAGCAAUAUCGCUGUGGAGGUGGCGCACGGGUGAGUAACACGUAGGUAAUCUGCCUUCAGGUCUGGCAUAACUCCGGGAAACCGGGGCUAAUAGCAGAUGAUGCAGCGGCUCGACAUCGAGACAGUUGUUAAAGCUAUGGCGCCUGAAGAUGAGCCUGCGUCUGAUUAGCUAGUUGGCGGGGUAACGGCCCGCCAAGGCAACGAUCAGUAGCUGGUCUGAGAGGAUGAUCAGCCACACUGGAACUGAGACACGGUCCAGACUCCUACGGGAGGCAGCAGUAAGGAAUAUUGCUCAAUGGGAGAAAUCCUGAAGCAGCAACGCCGCGUGAGGGACGAAGGGCUUUGGCUUGUAAACCUCUGUAGUGAGAGAAAAAAAUCCCAAUCUUUGGGACAUGAUGGUAGCUCAAAAGUAAGCCCCGGCUAACUACGUG
rnacentral:rRNA from 1 species